ACUAGUCAAAGCCAGUGCCACGAGAAGCACGUGUGCGUGUGUUUACGCCUUUUACGUGGUCGUCCUUUUGCAAUCGGCAAAGAUGUGUCAGGUUAAAGACUCAAAUGUUCGCAUUGCUCGUUGUAGCAUUUGAGAAACGAUUUUCCGUAAGAGCUUCGAAGAUACACCAUGACAGACAGCGUCAACUCGUCGUGGAGGUCUCUAAAGAUCCGCGACGAAAUCCUCCGGGCCGUGCUUGAACUCAACUUCGAUCAAAUGACACCAGUUCAGGCAACGACGAUCCCGCUGUUUCUUUCGAACAAAGAUGUUGCCGUCGAGGCGGUCACAGGAAGUGGCAAGACACUGGCCUUUCUGCUGCCUACGUUGGAAAUUCUCUUGAGGAGGGAAGAGCCACUCGGUAAAAAGGGGGUUGGAGCAAUCAUUGUUUCACCGACGAGGGAACUGGCCACUCAAAUCUUCCACGUCCUCGAGCAUUUCCUGAAGUUUGUGCCGCAGCUGACGGGACAGCUCUUCACUGGAGGCUACAAUCCCAUGAACGACAUAGAGAACUUUAAGGAGAAAGGGGCCAACAUUGUGGUGACGACUCCGGGGCGGAUGGUCGACAUGUUUGAGCGGAAGGACGACACGUUCAACUUUGCCACAAACACAAAGUCUCUGGAGGUGCUGGUGCUCGACGAAGCCGACCGCCUUCUUGAUAUGGGCUUCGAAAAGAGCGUGAAUACCAUCCUGUCAUACCUGCCCAAGCAACGCAGGACAGGGCUGUUCUCUGCAACACAGACCAAGGAGGUGGAGGAUUUGAUACGUGCGGGACUUCGCAAUCCUGUGAGCGUUUCUGUAAAGGAGAAGCAAACCUCCCUCGGCAAAUCCCAGAGGACACCGGCACUGCUAAAAAAUUUCUACAUUAUGUGUGAAGCAGACAAAAAGCUGGACCUCUUGGUCACCUUUCUGCAAAGUCACUCGAAGGAGAAGCACAUGGUGUUCUUCAGCACCUGCGCCUGCGUGGAAUACUUCUCUGCUAUUCUUGUGCAUCUGCUCAAGAACACUGCUGUAAUCAGCAUUCACGGCAAGAUGAAAUCUAAAAGGCAGAAGAUUUUUGACAGGUUCAUGACAAUGGAAAUGGGUGUCCUUGUUUGUACGGACGUGAUGGCAAGAGGUGUGGACAUUCCAGACGUUCACUGGGUUCUCCAGUUUGACGCUCCAAAGUCAUCAAGCUCCUUCAUCCACCGCUGCGGAAGGACUGCCAGAAUGGGUCACGAGGGAAAUGCUUUGCUUCUGCUCAUGCCUUCGGAAGAUUCCUACCUGAAGUUCUUGGAGCUCAAUCAGAAGGUAACCUUGGAAAAGAUGGACCCACCUGCCAUUGUCAACACAGUCAUUGAAAAAGUGAAGAAACUGGCAACGCAGGACAGAGCAAUUUACGAGAAGGGUGUCAGGGCAUUUGUGUCCUUUAUCCAGGCUUACAGGAAACAUGAAUGCUACCUGCUCUUUAGGAUAAAAGAUCUGGACUUCGCAAAACUGGCAGAGGGUUUUGCUCUCCUGAAGAUGCCUUACAUGCCAGAGCUAAGGGGCAAAGCAACUAUCGGAUUUCAGGAAUCCAGCGUUGAUGUCAAGAACAUUCCCUACAAGAACAAAGCCAAAGAGAAGCACAGGCAGGCAAAGCUCAAGGAGUCGAAAGAAUCUGGUGACAACAAGGAUGUUGCCAGGAAGGGCAGGCGUCAGAAGAUGAACAAGAGAUCCUAUGCAGAAGUACUGAGCGGAAAGGUGGAGACCGCCAGUAUUGGCACCCAGACCAUGCCUGUCGUAGUAUACUGCCCCACUGCCAAAGAGAUGACACCAGUCAGAAGACUGACUAGGUUACUGCCAAAGAAACCAGGGUCCCCAACGGAAAGACGCCAAGACGAGAGGCAAGAAGCGCAAGACAAAAGAAGACUACACAAAUGAAGACCUGGACGAACUGGCAGCAGACGCAAGGCUGAUACGAAAGCUGAAGCGUAAAAAGAUCACCAAGGAGGAAUUUGACGAGGCAUUUGAAGUUUGAAAACCUUCCGAGUGGAUUUCAUGCACACCGAUUGUACAGUCAAUAAAAAAACGUUAUGGCUCUGGA